GGUGAUGUAUGAUAAGAAGCCAGAGUGGGGUCAGGUGUUAGGCCGGUCGCUAGGUUACGGCUUUGUUCAGCUCCAAGAUCAUGAACUCGCUCUGAAGACACUACGACACCUCAACAAUAACCCUGACAUCUACGGAAACACCAAGAGACCCAUUGUUGAGUUCUCUCUUGAAGAUGGAAGGAAGCUGAUGAUGAAAGAAAUGCGACAACAACAAGUCAAGGAGCGUUUUAAGGGGAGUGGCCCUAUGGGAAGAGGGAAGAUGCAGCCGCAGUCAGGAGGCAGGCUUGGACCUCAGAAGGGUGUGUCUAAACCCCAGAGUAACAUGGUAACCAAGGAGGGGUCCGCGAAGACCCAGACACAGUCGGCACCAUCCGGUCAGAGCAGAAAGGAUGGAGUACCUCCCCCCCCCAGCCACAGGUCAAGGCUCAGACCCAGCAACAGGCCCAGAAGCAGACCCAGCAACAGGCCCAGAAGCAGAGCUGGCAGUGGUCAGGCUUCCAGACCACCUCAGUUCUAGAACACGUAGAACUGGAGGAUGGAAAGAAACGAAGGAAGGUUCUAUCCCUGCCCUCCCACCGUGGCCCAAAGAUAAGGGUGCGUGAUAAGGGAAAGCCUGCUCAGCCUAAGAAGCCCAGGAUCGGUUCCAGCAGGACAGGGAGGAACGUCACUGGAGAAACCUACACAGAGCACCUUAGGGGCCAAGAGGCGGGUUAGGAGCUGAGAGGAUGACCGCUUUGACAAUCUGGUUGAACAAUACAAGAGGAAACUGAUGGGCGGCAACAAGACUGCAACCAUCAAGAAGAACAAGUGGUUCAACAGUUAAGUGUGUGAGAUGCCAUUUUUUGGCAUAAUCAAAGAAACCUUUCCUUAUGUUGGUUUCGACAUCAUUUACAUUUUGAAACAAAGAUUUAUAAUGGUUGAAAUGUUGGUGUAACAUUCACCCAUGAACUGUGUAGAAUAGAGUCCUGCAUAUUACUGUCCGUGUAUGUCUGUGUCCUCAUGUUAUACACAACUUGUGGUGUGCCAUCACAGUGGUAAAAGGUGGGGUGUCCGAGUAGUCACUUCCUGAAUUAACUCUGACAGAGGUUUGAAGCAGUGUUAAAAAAACAAUGUGUGGGUUUGUUUAGUACGACAAACAUGUUCAGAACAGAUGCUGACGUUUUACCCUACUUUGCUUUAUGUUCAUGUAAACUAUUGGUCAAUAAUAAUGUAAAGAAUAUCAGAGAUUUGAGAAAUGUAAAUUACUGACAUUUUUAUUAAAGAGCUUGCAAAGACAGAGACAGUUUUAGUUUCUCUAUAUUUCAUAUGUUAAGUGGUCAUCUUUGAUAUAAGAAAAUGUUAAUGUAUCGAUACAUUUUGGAAACACCCACACAAUGUUCAUGUGUAAAGUUUGAUAUACAUGUACCUCUCCCACCCACCCAUUUCUGGACAUGUUGAUGUACUCUGUGUAAAGUUUGAUAUACAUGUACCUCUCCCACCCACCCAUUUCUGGACAUGUUGAUGUACUCUGUGUAAAGUUUGAUAUACAUGUACCUCUCCCACCCACCCAUUUCUGGACAUGUUGAUGUACUCUGUGUAAAGUUUGAUAUACAUGUACCUCUCCCACCCACCCAUUUCUGGACAUGUUGAUGUACUCUGUGUAAAGUUUGAUAUACAUGUACCUCUCCCACCCACCCAUUUCUGGACAUGUUGAUGUACUCUGUGUAAAGUUUGAUAUACAUGUACCUCUCCCACCCACCCAUUUCUGGACAUGUUGAUGUACUCUGUGUAAAGUUUGAUAUACAUGUACCUCUCCCACCCACCCAUUUCUGGACAUGUUGAUGUACUCUGUGUAAAGUUUGAUAUACAUGUACCUCUCCCACCCACCCAUUUCUGGACAUGUUGAUGUACUCUGUGUAAAGUUUGAUAUACAUGUACCUCUCCCACCCACCCAUUUCUGGACAUGUUUAUGUACUCUGUGUAAAGUUUGAUAUACAUGUACCUCUCCCACCCACCCAUUUCUGGACAUGUUGAUGUACUCUGUGUAAAGUUUGAUAUACAUGUACCUCUCCCACCCACCCAUUUCUGGACAUGUUGAUGUACUCUGUGUAAAGUUUGAUAUACAUGUACCUCUCCCACCCACCCAUUUCUGGACAUGUUGAUGUACUCUGUGUAAAGUUUGAUAUACAUGUACCUCUCCCACCCACCCAUUUCUGGACAUGUUGAUGUACUCUGUGUAAAGUUUGAUAUACAUGUACCUCUCCCACCCACCCAUUUCUGGACAUGUUGAUGUACUCUGUGUGAAGUUUGAUAUACAUGUACCUCUCCCACCCACCCAUUUCUGGACAUGUUGAUGUACUCUGUGUAA